ensembl:misc_RNA Metazoa_SRP Metazoan signal recognition particle RNA
GCCAGGCGUGGUGGCACCCGCCUGUAAUCCCAGCUACUCGGGAGGCUGAGAUGGGAGGAUUGCUUGAGCCUGGGAGAUUGAGGAUGCAGUGAACAAUGAUUGCACCACUGCACUCCAGCCUGGGUGACAGAGUGAGACCUCAUCUCUA